CACCAUCUGGCUUCCAACCCCACAUCCCAUUGAGACUAUUCUCGUCAAGAUUACUGCUAUCUUCCAAUAUGCCCAAUCAACUGACCUAUUUUUAGCUCCAUCCUAGGUGAACUUUCUGCAGCAUUGGAUGUGGAUACAGGCCCAAGUUCCAAGAGCACGUGCUAGAUGGCUGCAACCCUCAUAAUGGAACUGCAUCCAGCAAACCUGUCCGGGCAGACACUGAUUCCCGAGCUCAAAAUGUGUCUCUUGCCACCCAGAUACAGGGCCUGCCUUUGACUUGCCCAUAGUCUUCUUGGAGAAGUGCCAGACACAGGGAUUCAACAUCUUAAGGAGCCAAAGAAAAGAGCUGGUGUCAAAGCACCCAGUACUCUUGAAAUGUCAUGCAGAUACAAGCUACUGAUAAUGUCAUAUACGUUAUUAUCAUUUAAUCAGAAUUAAAUAUAAACCCGAGAUAUUAACCCCAUAUUUUGGCUUUUAUUAAUAUCAAAGCAGCAUUUAAAGUUGAACACAGGCUCACAAAACCCUGGCAGAGUCAGGACUGAUAUGGUCCUCACCAACUUUAGGAAUCUGGAGUUUUUUGGGGGCAUGUUAAGAUUUUCCUUUAACGUCUUCAUGGGUAGAGAAGCAAGCAUUGCUAUGUUCUGAGCUUUAGGAUUAGAAAAACACGAAACUCUCUAGCAAUUUCUAAAUGAAGUCAAAUUGGUUCAGUUUCUGAACAUCUAGACCAUCUUACUCCAGACGUGGCAUCCAUUGACAACAGCAGUCCGUAAGCUCCACCACAGUUUUGAAGGAAGGGAAAAAGAAGGGCUCUGCAUUUCAGGCUCUGCUGCCUUCCAGAACAUCUACC